GGUGGAGUAUGUGGAGAGGACUGGUGGAGGAGGAGGUGGUGUGGAGCGUGUGGAGAGGACUGGUGGAGGAGGAGGUGGUGUGGAGCGUGUGGAGAGGACUGGUGGAGCAGGAGGUGGUGUGGAGUAUGUGGAGAGGACUGGUGGAGGAGGAGGUGGUGUGGAGUAUGUGGAGAGGACUGGUGGAGGAGGAGAUGGUGUGGAGUAUGUGGAGAGGAUGGUGGAGCAGGAGGAUGGAGCAGAGGGAGAUGAAGGAGCACACGGGGGUUUUCGGGUGUCUAAGUGCUGCGGUUUCUGUGGCGCAUCAAGUUUACGCACCUGAGGACGCGGAACACUGGAUUUGGAAUCCAGCUGAGGCGCAGAACUGCUUCAUGGCGUGUGCUCAGGAGUUCGUUUGAUUGCUCGUUAAGUGUCAAUUACAGAUAAAUAAAUAUGCAUUAAUUAAUAAAUAAGCAACUAUUAAAAAAAGAAGAAGAAAUAAAAAUGUCACAAAAGGCAUUAUGCUUAUAAAUCCUGUAGCUGGAUCUAUCUAUCUAUCUCUCUGUCUAUCUAUCUAUCUA
ensembl:lncRNA